rnacentral:lncRNA from 1 species
AUGUCUGCAGGUUUUCUGCUUCUAAUGCUUCUCUCACCUGGGAGUGAAACAAUUAGCAGCGGGCAAAAACAGCAACAGACUUCAAGUAACCCGCUCACCAGUAAGGCAAGAUCCACAAUCUGUUCCCAGCAACCCGUGGUUAUGGUGAGUAUUGCAUUACAGCCCUGCAUGACAUCUCUGUACGACUGGCAGUGUCUGCUGAGGGCACCAUUGGCAGCAUGGAAUGAGUCAGAGAAGUACACCGUAUACCCUGCAAACCCUUGUGCAAAAAUUCCAGCAUUACGUCUUUCUCUCCUGAGAAGAGAGAGUUUACCAGCUGUAGCUGUGCUGAAUUAUGGAAGAGAAAAUCAAGUGCUAUAAUUGUGGGUGUUUAUCACAGUUACAGGUUUUUGGUUGUUUUUUUUUUUUCUUUUUCUUCUAUUCAUAGAAAUUUGAUCUGAACAGGGUAAAUCUGUGUCUGCAAUACAAAUGAGAUCAUCUGUGAGCC